GGCGAGGGGUCCCCGCCCGCCGCCGCCUCGGCAAUAUUUUUUUUUUCCUCUCUCCGACCUGGUCACACACGGUGUUUACUCGCAGACAAGGUUUGUUUUCGGUCUCCGCUAGGAUGAAGGAAAAAAAAAAACAAAAGACACAAAAAAAAAAAAACCCUCACCAACCCCACCGCAAAACAAAACCCAAACAAAAAGGAAGGAAAAAAAAAAAAGAGAAAAAGAAAAAAAGAAAAAAAAGGGAAAACCCACGGAAAAAUAGAAAAUGAAAAGAAAAAAAGAGAACGAAAAACCCGACAGAAAAGGAAAGACAGAUGUGUGCCUAUGAAUAACCUUCCAGCGCCUUGGUUAUAUCAGCUGUAUUUCAGCCGAACCUCGGAGAAAACAAUACCCAGCCCUUCUGCCAGCAGUGUAGGGGGGAAAAAAUUACCUUUAGGAAUCCUGAGGAGCGGCCCGAGAAGGGAGUGAGCUCUGGUCUUCAAUAAGCAGCAGCAGCACGCGAGUGGACAGGCGCCUUCCCACUGCACUGCCAGCACACCACCCCUCCUGCACCUGGGAGCGAGAGGGAUUUGGGAUGUGAACAGUGGGCUAUGCAUUGUUUCUGAACCAUAAAACUGAUUUAUUUCAUUGCUAAAUCUCUGUGAGCUGCAGCACCACGGCCUUGGGGGCAACGGGCCUGCGGCCGCCCCUGCGCUGGGCAGCGGGGCCCGGGUGGCUCCACUGAGGGACCACGACCUCCAGCUCUCUCUCCAGAAGGAUUACAGCAGCAGCAGAAGGAAAUAUAACCCCCAAAAGGCCGAUUUUUCAGUCAGCUCCAGGAACAGGAUGAAUGCGGCAUGGUGACCAAAGCUCAGGAAUAAAGAGCCGUGGUUUGUAAACAGCCCCAGCUGAGGAGAUGGAGGAGAAGGUCCAGGUUAAAGCCAGCCCUGGUUAAAUCCAACCCGGGUUAAAGCCAGCCCUGCGUGCUCCUGGUGCCUCUGGGCCCAGGGAGGCAAAGCUCCUCAAGGCAGCUUUGGUUUGGAGGAGGGACAGAAGGCGUUUCACUGAAAUUAGCCUGUUUUAGAGCCCUUUGGCUGCUCUGUAAAUACAACCACAGCGAGGGCUGGGUUAUGUCUUAUUUUAAAACAAAUUAGGUUGAGACAAAAGGGAUGCAAUGAAAGACGAAAUCAAGUAAGUUUAUAAACAGAAGCACUUCAAAGGCUGCUGGAAAGCUGGAGAAAAUAGGAGAAUUUUGUCUAAAGAAAAGAAAAUCUCUGCUGGUUAUUGCCCAUCGAUUUCAGUGUUCCUGUGAGCAAAAGG
rnacentral:lncRNA from 14 species